rnacentral:misc_RNA from 1 species
CGGGUCGAGGUGGUACAGAGUGUUCCUCUUAUCCGUUGACAGAUUGGUGGAUAAUUUUUGUGUUAGGAAAGGACCGUUUUUCAUUUUCCGAUGAGGCCAAUCAUCAUCCUGGCCACACUUCACUACAUUAUGGGAGCAGCAAUAAACCCAUUGGAACCUUUAGAGAAUUUCCUUUGGGAGGAUCCUUUGUCUGAAGUAGUGUUUCCAGAAGAAAACUUCGCUAGUGGUAAUCCAGAUUCGUUUCAACAUCGAUAUUCGAAUUCAAAUGAGGAGAAUACCGAUCCAGAUUUAGAAGUUAUGCUUCGUCCACCUACAGGCAAACGGGCUUUGGCGAUGUUCGCACGAUGGGGUUCAAUCAACGGCAUUGGGAAAAAUAGGCCACCGAUCAGAAGUAACCUCUACGAUCCAGAAGAUGCCAUCAAUACGCAGACCAGGGGUAGGAUGUUGGGGCAACCGUUGAGGUGGGGUUAGGAUAGAUCUAGGAGGCUGACAACAGAGACGGGUGUUUGAUAAGAACAUUGUUAAGAUCAUGGUAGGAAUGAUGAUAUGGAUAUAGAAAGAUUUGUAUUACUUUAUUUCUGUAGUUGGGCUUAUUAUAUACCCUUUAUAUUUUCGGGUGAAAUAUUUUUUGAUUUGGAAAUGAAGAGAAAUUCUGGAAAACAGAGAUAUAGACUAAUUAUAACUUGGCUCAAUAUAUACAAUUUAGUUUUGUAGAAGUUUAUAAUAUAUUGUUUAAUAAAAUACUGAAGAAAACAGCAUGUAACAAUAAUGGGAUCCUGCGUAGCUUCGUAAAAAAAGUAUUGGAGCUAGAAUAAA